rnacentral:lncRNA from 1 species
ACAUGGCUGUGUGUCAGUUUAACAUAAUACAUUUGUCAACCUUGAUAUGUUCCCUGAGCCACAUCUUUAUCUUUAAACAUUAUUAUUUGCUGUAGAUGUCAAACAAGCAUACAAUACCUCCUACUCUUAAAGGGCUAUGCCUUAAUUAGUCAUUUCACCCUAUUGAUUAGCCAUAGACCUUCAGGCUCAUUUGUUCCCUUAACAAGUGUAUCAGUACUGGUUCCUCAUGAACUGCUAACAGCAGCCAACUCUGAUUUGAGAACCGGUUUGUUUUGUUAAGAGAAAAGUUCCCUGUUGUGCUGAGCCACCAACGCUUCUCCUCUGUCUCGCCUCAGUUGGUCAAGAAACCAACUGAUCAGUCCACAGGUCUCUCCUGGUCUUCCCUGCUGAGACCUGACCUCGCAGGGUGGACAAAGAAGCAGCCACACAAAUGGCCCCAAGAAACAGCCUUCAAAAACAAACAAAAAUAUCCUGAAUGUAGUGUAUAAACCAAACAAAGUAUUUGCAGUAUUUUCAUUUUUUCUGACCGUAUUUGCUAACGUUGUGCUCUUGCAUCUCACAGAGAAGCCUGCACCAAAGCCUGUGAAGAUAGUCAAAGAAGAACCAAAAGAGCCUGAAGUUCCUGUGAAGAUAGUCAAAGAAGAACCAAAAGAGCCUGAAGUUCCUGUGAAGAAAUCGAAGGCAGAGAAAGCAGAAGCUGAUGCUCCCAAAGAAGCACCACAGAAACAGAAAGAAUCCAAAUCCAAGAAAGAAGACAUGGUUUCCACCAAGGAAGGUAUGCAUACUCUCUUUUUUUUGUGUGUGUGGAGAUUUCAGAACCACUGUCUAGUAUGUAAUUGCCCAAUGGUCAAAAUGUUGGGUCACGUAUGUAACUUCGGUUCUCUGAGGAGAACAUGAGACGUCACCUUUGGAUGGGAUAUGCCACUUUCUGAUGUGUGUUCCUGAAAUUCUUCUACAGCCAAUGCCUGAAUGCCUGAGUGUGCUAUCUGUCACAGAGCACCGCCUCCGCGUAUAGUGUUGCAAAGUGUUGCAAAAACUGCAAAAUCAUUUCAAUAGAACAUGCAGAUAGGUCCUGGUUUCGAGCAGCACUUGCCACUUUAGCGAAUAGAGCAACCAUAUUGACGGUGCUCUCGACCUCUGAAUAGUUUCAACAACUGUCGCAGUUAAACCUUCCAUUAAUAAACAAUCCCGUUCAGUGGUCA